rnacentral:rRNA from 1 species
AAAACUAAAGGGCUAAAUUAUAUUUUAUAGGUAAAAAGGUGGUUAGGUGAUUAGGAUGCAUUAGUUGUUUUAAAUGUUGUUUUUAUAGUUAGGCUUAUAUAGGUGAAAUUUAUAUGCUUGAGUUUAAAUUUAAUUACUUUAGUGUUGAAUCCACUAAGAUUAGCGUAGAAACUGGGAUUAGAUACCCCAUUAUUGCUAAUUCUGAAAUUUUACAUGCCUGGGGAGUACUGGUUUUUAAUUGAUUUUACUUGAAACUCAAAAGAUUUGGCGGUGUUUUAGACCCCUUAGGGGAGCUUGUCUCGUAAUCGAUAAUCCACGUUAGACCCAAUUUUUUUUAUUAGUUUGUAUACCGUCGUCGUUAGCUGGCCUUUUAGAGUUUAACAGUCUUCUAUUUAUAUUUGUAUUAUAUAAUAUGUCAGAUAAAGGUGCAGCUUAUAGAGAAAUGAGGAUGAGCUACAAUUAUAAUAUUUAUAUAUCAAAUGGACGUAUUAAAAUUUUUUGUCUUGAAGGAGGACUUAAAAGUAAAAUAGAUAUUAUAUAAAUGUUUUGAAUUUGGCUCUGAAAUGCGU